rnacentral:rRNA from 1 species
GCAGCCACGCCGCGUGGAGGAUAGACACAUUUCGGUGCGUAAACUCCUUUUAUAUAGGAAGAUAAUGACGGUACUAUAUGAAUAAGCACCGGCUAACUCCGUGCCAGCAGCCGCGGUAAUA